rnacentral:tRNA from 1 species
GGCCGUGUACGUCAGUGGUAGACUGUUACCCUCCUAAGGUAGAAACCUGGGUUCGAACCCCAGCAUGGUCG